rnacentral:rRNA from 1 species
UACGUAGGGUGCGAGCGUUAAUCGGAAUUACUGGGCGUAAAGCGUGCGCAGGCGGUUUUAUAAGCCAGAUGUGAAAGCCCCGGGCUCAACCUGGGAAUGGCAUUUGGGACUGUAAGGCUGGAGUAUGGCAGAGGAGACUAGAAUUCCUGGUGUAGCAGUGAAAUGCGUAGAUAUCAGGAGGAAUACCGAUGGCGAAGGCAGGUCUCUGGGCCAAUACUGACGCUCAUGCACGAAGGCGUGGGGAGCAAACAGG